rnacentral:rRNA from 1 species
ACACUGUACGAGUUUGAUCAUGGCUCAGGAUGAACGCUAGCGACAGGCCUAACACAUGCAAGUCGAGCGGAGGGUUUCGGCCCUCAGCGGCGGACGGGUGAGUAACACGUAGGUUACGUGCCCUUUGGUGGGGAAUAACUUAGGGAAACCUGAGCUAAUACCGCAUAUGCCCUUCGGGGUGAAAGUCUUCGGACGCCAGAGGAUCGGCCUGCGGCCCAUUAUUUAAUCCUUGUUGGUGGGGUAACGGCCUACCAAGGGUACGAUGGGUAGCUGGUCUGAGAGGAUGAUCAGCCACACUGGGACUGAGACACGGCCCAGACUCCUACGGGAGGCAGCAGUGGGGAAUAUUGGACAAUGGGCGCAAGCCUGAUCCAGCAAUGCCGCGUGAGUGAUGAAGGCCUUAGGGUUGUAAAGCUCUUUUACCAGGGAUGAUAAUGACAGUACCUGGAGAAUAAGCUCCGGCUAACUCCGUG